AUAUUGAUACUCCCGUUCAGUCACAGUCCGAGCGUUAAAAGCGUCGCAGGCAAUGAGAGCGGCGGCAUGAGAACCAUGCCGGGGUGAAAUUCCCGUGA
ncrna:unclassified sequences pemK RNA